AUAUUAAAGUUGUUGCAGUUAAAAAGCUCGUAGUUGAAUUUCGGGAUUGACUACAUCGGUCGUGCCUUAAGGGGUAUGAACUGGUGUAGUCAACUUCUCACCUUCUGGAGAACCGCGAUGCCCUUAAUUGGGUGUCMCGGGGAACCAGGUCCUUUUACUUUUAUCCCCCCAGAGUGUUUAAAGCAGGCAUUUUGCUUGAAUACAUUAGCAUGGAAUAAUAAAAUAGGACGGCAUCGAUUCUUAUUUUGUUGGUUUCUAGGAUCGACCGUAAUGAUUAAUAGGGAGGGUCCACCGCAAUAGGGGUCAAUUGUCAGAGGUGAAGGAAGUAGAUUUAUUGAAGACUAACUACUGCGAAAUCAUUUGCCAAGGAUGUUUUCAUUAAUCAAGAACGAAAGUUAUGGGAUCGAAGACGAUCAGAUACCGUCGUAGUCUUAACCAUAAACUAUGCCGACUAGG
rnacentral:rRNA from 1 species